GUUUCCAUGGUGACAAGGGAAACUAACCUUGUCUAGGGAGAAGCAAAGAUCUUGAUAAGAAACAGGACCUACAAGGGCUGCUUUUUUCAUAAACUUCCAGGGGUUCCAGUCUCUGGAAACGGCUGGACCCAAAGGAUAAAGCCAGUUGCUGUAUGAGAGUAACACAAAAUCCUUUUGCCGAGCCAAAGUUCUUGCUAUGCAAACAUGUCUCAUUCCCCCUUUUUAUACUGUGCCUGUUGGGAUCCUUGGAAUGUGAGGGGUAAAAGGCUAAUAAAGACCAUGCCAGGCUUACCGAAUCAGAAAGCCAGGUCUUCCUCACUAGGCAUGAUCUUGAAAAACCAAAAUAGUUUCCUGUUUGCUCUAAAACCUCCCAGCACAUCCAAAGGGAUAUUGCCCAACAGAAAAUAUGGAUAUCGACUACGAAGCAGAGAACCACCUGAUGCUUCAGGGGAGUUCAUAGAAAUCUCACCUGGUUAUACCUUGACUCGAAGUAAAGAACAUCUCUCCGUCACGCUAGGGGAGGAAUUUUUUGAAAGAAAAAAUGCUACUGAAGAACCAGCCCCGCGCUUUGUUCCCAGAAGCCCAGUGAAACUUGAAACGGAGGAUGUUAUUACUGACUUAGAGGAACAGAUUGCUGAGCUGACAGACAUGAUGGAGCAACUGCGCAGAGAUCACCAGGCCUCCCGCAAACUGUUGGAGAAGGAUAUGGAAGAAAAGUGCAAUGAGAUGCAACAGGAGCAUGAGAAUAAGAUCAGGGAACUCCAAGAAGCUCACUGUGCUGAGCUCCAAGCCUUGCAAGUGCAGUACAAGAAAGAACUGAGGACUGAGAGGGCCUCUGCACAAGAGAAAAUGGAGGGGAUGCAGAAGGAAUACAGGUAUCUGAAGAAUGCAUUCCGAAUGUACCAGGACAGUGUUUCUGAUGAAAUGGAGGAGAAGUGGCUGAGAAGGCAGGCUGACUGGAAGAAGAGUGAGAGGACUGAGCGGGAGAAGGCACUGUUACAGCAAAAGCAGGAAUUGAUGAAGAAAUUUGAGCUGGAGAGAGAGCAGCUAAAGAAAUCAUUUCAGAGUGGUAACUCCAUGAUGAAUAAACACUCCCAGCAGGAAAGAGAGGAGUUUAUUAAACAGCACCAGGAAGAUGUGGAGAAAAUAAAAGAGUUGCAAAACAUCAAGGAGUCUCUGGAAGCCGAUUUGAAGGAGAAGGAUCAGAUUCUCAAGGCUCUCACCACAACGAUGCAGAACACUCAGAUGGAACUUCAGAAAGAGAAAAGCAACCUGAUGGCGUUGGAGAAAAACAUUCAACAGAAAAUCUCGGCAGUUGAAUUAAAACACCAGCUCAAUGUCACUUCCCUGGCAGAUGAAAAUGCCCUUCUGAGACGCAAACUGAUCACAAAGAGCGAAGAAGCAUUUAACGAAAGAGUCCGGCAAAAGAGUCAGUUGUGAGGACUGCUCUAAUGGGAAUGUGACCUUGUUACUAAGGGAAACUUGCUGAUGAUGCAUCAACGCUCACAAGCCCAGCAGUGCUUGGAGUCCCAUCUACCAAGGGAGGUGUUGCAAGAAGUGCGUGUGGUGAUUGUGGCUAUUUGGCUUUCUUCUGUGCUCUGUUACUAGAAGUAGGAUUUGAAAACCAGCGAGGUAAGUAAAUUAGUUUUCCCCGGGCUGCCCAACCACUUCAGGCUUCCCUA